UAAACCGCUUUUGUCAGGGAAGAAAAGGUUCUGGCUAAUACCUGGGACUCAUGACGGUACCUGAAGAAUAAGCACCGGCUAACUACGUGCCAGCAGCCGCGGUAAUACGUAGGGUGCAAGCGUUAAUCGGAAUUACUGGGCGUAAAGCGUGCGCAGGCGGUUAUGCAAGACAGAGGUGAAAUCCCCGGGCUCAACCUGGGAACUGCCUUUGUGACUGCAUGGCUAGAGUACGGUAGAGGGGGAUGGAAUUCCGCGUGUAGCAGUGAAAUGCGUAGAUAUGCGGAGGAACACCGAUGGCGAAGGCAAUCCCCUGGACCUGUACUGACGCUCAUGCACGAAAGCGUGGGGAGCACCAC
rnacentral:rRNA from 1 species